CUGACAUUAGAUACCCGUGUAGUCCCAGCCGUAAACGAUGCGCGUUAGGUGUAUCGACGACCACGAGUCGUCGAGGUGCCGAAGGGAAACCGUGAAACGUGCCGCCUGGGAAGUACGGUCGCAAGGCUGAAACUUAAAGGAAUUGGCGGGGGAGCACCACAACAGGUGGAGCCUGCGGUUUAAUUGGACUCAACGCCGGGAAGCUCACCGGAUAGGACAGCAGAAUGAUUGCCGGGCUGAAGACCCUGCAUGACUAGCUG
rnacentral:rRNA from 1 species